UGACCACUUUGCCCACUCCCCUUUUUAAUGGGCCUCAGGAAAGGCAAGCCCUAAGCUUGCCCAACUGGGCAGAGGGAUCCUCCUCAGAUCAUCACCGGAAUUUGCAGUCAUUCUGCCCUCACCUUCUGCUGCUUGGGUUACUUAGAGGUGAAGAAGGAAAUCCAGCAACACAUUUUCAGAGACUCACAGAAUUGUUUUGUUUGGCAAAGAGCUUUAAGCUCAUCCAGUCGAACCAUUCUCUGACUCUUCCAAGUCUGGUGCUAAGCCACGUCCCUCAGCACCACAUCUCUGCCUCUUUGAAACACCUCCAGAGAAGUGAUUCAGCCUUCAGAAGUUCCCUCACUGUUUUUAAAGGAAGAACAUGAUCUGAAUUCUCCUAGUUUUGCCUGGGUUGUGAUUUAAGCUUGCAGUGGCCUGGCAGACUCAGCUGAGGCUCAAGUUUGUACCAGCCCCCAGGAGGACAACUUUCCAGUUAAUCAAGUGCAGUUCUGGAGCUGCCUCUUCACAAAGCUUGCCACUGUCUUCUGCAUCUGCUUCGUGGGGAUCAUUUUCUUCAAAGUCAUCAGAAAAGGAAAAAAAAAAGCAACAUCAAGGAAAGAUGAACUAAAAAAAAAACCUAACAGCUGCUAAAGAAGUCAUCUAAAACAGACCUUCCAGGUUUAAAAACUAAAUAAAAAUAGAGAAAGAUCUCAAA